GACGGGUAGCCGGCCUGAGAGGGCGACCGGCCACACUGGGACUGAGACACGGCCCAGACUCCUACGGGAGGCAGCAGUGGGGAAUAUUGCACAAUGGGCGCAAGCCUGAUGCAGCGACGCCGCGUGAGGGAUGACGGCCUUCGGGUUGUAAACCUCUUUCAGCAGGGAAGAAGCGAAAGUGACGGUACCUGCAGAAGAAGCGCCGGCUAACUACGUGCCAGCAGCCGCGGUAAUACGUAGGGCGCAAGCGUUGUCCGGAAUUAUUGGGCGUAAAGAGCUCGUAGGCGGCUUGUCGCGUCGGUUGUGAAAGCCCGGGGCUUAACCCCGGGUCUGCAGUCGAUACGGGCAGGCUAGAGUUCGGUAGGGGAGAUCGGAAUUCCUGGUGUAGCGGUGAAAUGCGCAGAUAUCAGGAGGAACACCGGUGGCGAAGGCGGAUCUCUGGGCCGAUACUGACGCUGAGGAGCGAAAGCGUGGGGAGCGAACAGGAUUAGAUACCCUGGUAGUCCACGCCGUAAACGGUGGGCACUAGGUGUGGGCAACAUUCCACGUUGUCCGUGCCGCAGCUAACGCAUUAAGUGCCCC
rnacentral:rRNA from 1 species